rnacentral:rRNA from 1 species
GGCAGACGGGUUGAGUAACACGUUGGGAACCUUCCUAGGGGUACGGAACAACUCAGGGAAACUUGAGCUAAUACCGUAUACGUCCGUAAGGAGAAAGAUUUAUCGCCCUUAGACGGGCCCGCGUCGGAUUAGCUAGUUGGUGGGGUAACGGCCUACCAAGGCGACGAUCCGUAGCUGAUCUUAGAGGAUGAUCAGCCACACUGGGACUGAGACACGGCCCAGACUCCUACGGGAGGCAGCAGUGGGGAAUCUUGGACAAUGGGCGCAAGCCUGAUCCAGCCAUGCCGCGUGAGUGAAGAAGGCCUUAGGGUUGUAAAGCUCUUUUGGCAGGGACGAUAAUGACGGUACCUGCAGAAUAAGCCCCGGCAAACUUCGUGCCAGCAGCCGCGGUAAUACGAAGG